rnacentral:rRNA from 1 species
UACGGAAGGCAGCAGUGGGGAAUAUUGCACAAUGGGCGCAAGCCUGAUGCAGCCAUGCCGCGUGUAUGAAGAAGGCCUUCGGGUUGUAAAGUACUUUCAGCGGGGAGGAAGGCGAUGCGGUUAAUAACCGCGUCGAUUGACGUUACCCGCAGAAGAAGCACCGGCUAACUCCGUGCCAGCAGCCGCGGUAAUACGGAGGGUGCAAGCGUUAAUCGGAAUUACUGGGCGUAAAAGCGCACGCAGGCGGUCUGUUAAGUCAGAUGUGAAAUCCCCCGGGCUUAAACCUGGGAACUGCAUUUUGAAACUGGCAGGCUUGAGUCUUGUAGAGGGGGUAGAAUUCCAGGUGUAGCGGUGAAAUGCGUAGAGAUCUGGAGGAAUACCGGUGGCGAAGGCGGCCCCUGGACAAAGACUGACGCUCAGGGUGCGAAAGCGUGGGGAGCAAAACAGGAUUAGAUACC